rnacentral:snRNA from 1 species
AGCUUUGUGCAGUGUUAGGAUCAUAGCCAAUGAGGUUUAUCUGAGGCACGAUUAUUGCUAAUUGAAAAUUUUGUGAAACUGUCC